rnacentral:sRNA from 1 species
AAAGAGUAGCAGGCUGCUCCUAUCACUGCUGAUCCUGUGUGUGCUGUGCACCGGAUGUGGGUGGAAUGAGGCUGCAGGGGCACCUGCGUCCCCAGUGGCUAUGAUGACUAAAUGAGGAGGCCCCUGUAGAGUGCACAGCGUUCACCCAGUGACAGUGUGAUUGUAAUAGCUGGGGUUGCUGGGACCCUAGAGUAUCCACGGUGUGCAUGCACUUGAACUUCAGGAUACCCUGUUUCCCUCUGAGGUGCAAGAGCUCUGGCGAUUCCGGAUCCCUACUGUGUGUCAGGUUCUGGAAGCAUCUUCUCUCAUCUCCACGUGAUGCCCAGGGGCUCCCCCAGCUUCUAGAAGCCACCGCUUGUCCAGGGCACCAGCUCAGUCUGUCGUCAAGCCUGGAUUUGAUCUUAGGUCUAGCUGCUUCCGGAAUACCGAGACGGGCCUUUGCUGUUCCCUGAGCUUGCUGUCAGCAAACGUUUGAUGGACUUUCUGGCCGAGACCAGCCAGUGGAGCUGCUGAAUCCUGCCCGCGUGAACCACAUGCCCAGCACGGUGGAUGUGGCCGCGGCGCUGCCUCUGCAAGUGGCCCCCUCGGCAGUGCCCAUGGACCUGCGCCUGGACCACCAGUUCUCACUGCCUGUGGCAGAGCCGGCCCUGCGGGAGCAGCAGCUGCAGCAGGAGCUCCUGGCGCUCAAGCAGAAGCAGCAGAUCCAGAGGCAGAUCCUCAUCGCCGAGUUCCAGAGGCAGCACGAGCAGCUCUCCCGGCAGCACGAGGCGCAGCUCCACGAGCACAUCAAGCAACAGCAGGAGAUGCUGGCCAUGAAGCACCAGCAGGAGCUGCUGGAACACCAGCGGAAGCUGGAGAGGCACCGCCAGGAGCAAGAGCUGGAGAAGCAGCACCGGGAGCAGAAGCUGCAGCAGCUCAAGAACAAGGAGAAGGGCAAAGAGAGUGCCGUGGCCAGCACAGAAGUGAAGAUGAAGUUACAAGAAUUUGUCCUCAAUAAAAAGAAGGCGCUGGCCCACCGGAAUCUGAACCACUGCAUUUCCAGCGACCCUCGCUACUGGUACGGGAAAACGCAGCACAGUUCCCUUGACCAGAGUUCUCCACCCCAGAGCGGAGUGUCGACCUCCUAUAACCACCCGGUCCUGGGAAUGUACGACGCCAAAGAUGACUUCCCUCUUAGGAAAACAGCUUCUGAACCGAAUCUGAAAUUACGGUCCAGGCUAAAGCAGAAAGUGGCCGAAAGACGGAGCAGCCCCCUGUUACGCAGGAAAGACGGGCCAGUGGUCACUGCUCUAAAAAAGCGUCCGUUGGAUGUCACAGACUCCGCGUGCAGCAGCGCCCCAGGCUCCGGACCCAGCUCACCCAACAACAGCUCCGGGAGCGUCAGCGCGGAGAACGGUAUCGCGCCCACCGUCCCCAGCAUCCCGGCGGAGACGAGUUUGGCGCACAGACUUGUGGCACGAGAAGGCUCGGCCGCUCCACUUCCCCUCUACACGUCGCCAUCCCUGCCCAACAUCACGCUGGGCCUGCCUGCCACCGGCCCCUCUGCUGGCACGGCGGGCCAGCAGGACGCCGAGAGACUCGCCCUUCCCGCCCUCCAGCAGAGGCUCUCCCUUUUCCCCGGCACCCACCUCACUCCCUACCUGAGCACCUCGCCCUUGGAGCGGGACGGAGGGGCAGCGCACAGCCCUCUUCUGCAGCACAUGGUCUUACUGGAGCAGCCGCCGGCACAAGCGCCCCUCGUCACAGGCCUGGGAGCACUGCCCCUCCACGCACAGUCCUUGGUUGGUGCAGACCGGGUGUCCCCCUCCAUCCACAAGCUGCGGCAGCACCGCCCACUGGGGCGGACCCAGUCGGCCCCGCUGCCCCAGAACGCCCAGGCUCUGCAGCACCUGGUCAUCCAGCAGCAGCAUCAGCAGUUUCUGGAGAAACACAAGCAGCAGUUCCAGCAGCAGCAACUGCAGAUGAACAAGAUCAUCCCCAAGCCAAGCGAGCCAGCCCGGCAGCCGGAGAGCCACCCGGAGGAGACGGAGGAGGAGCUCCGUGAGCACCAGGCUCUGCUGGACGAGCCCUACCUGGACCGGCUGCCGGGGCAGAAGGAGGCGCACGCACAGGCCGGCGUGCAGGUGAAGCAGGAGCCCAUUGAGAGCGAUGACGAAGAGGCAGAGCCCCCACGGGAGGUGGAGCCAGGCCAGCGCCAGCCCAGUGAGCAGGAGCUGCUCUUCAGACAGCAAGCCCUCCUGCUGGAGCAGCAGCGGAUCCACCAGCUGAGGAACUACCAGGCGUCCAUGGAGGCCGCCGGCAUCCCCGUGUCCUUCGGCGGCCACAGGCCUCUGUCCCGGGCGCAGUCCUCACCCGCGUCUGCCACCUUCCCCGUGUCUGUGCAGGAGCCCCCCACCAAGCCGAGGUUCACGACAGGCCUCGUGUAUGACACGCUGAUGCUGAAGCACCAGUGCACCUGCGGGAGCAGCAGCAGCCACCCCGAGCACGCCGGGAGGAUCCAGAGCAUCUGGUCCCGCCUGCAGGAGACGGGCCUCCGGGGCAAAUGCGAGUGCAUCCGCGGACGCAAGGCCACCCUGGAGGAGCUACAGACGGUGCACUCGGAAGCCCACACCCUCCUGUAUGGCACGAACCCCCUCAACCGGCAGAAACUGGACAGUAAGAAACUUCUAGGCUCGCUCGCCUCCGUGUUCGUCCGGCUCCCCUGCGGUGGUGUUGGGGUGGACAGUGACACCAUAUGGAACGAGGUGCACUCGGCGGGGGCAGCCCGCCUGGCUGUGGGCUGCGUGGUAGAGCUGGUCUUCAAGGUGGCCACGGGGGAGCUGAAGGUCAGUCGGGGCCUGGACAGUGGUGGCCCUCCAGGAGGCCUGCCAUAGAUUCCCAGUGUGGGGAGGGGCCGCCCACUGCGUCUCCCUCUCAUCAGGCUGGGAGGCGGCUGUGAUGGGGAGGUGUGGACCCCACUCUGUCAGCACAGCCUCGCUAUUGAAUCAAAGAGACAUUGCCCACAUUUGUGACAGGGUAUGUGCAUAGUACAGAGAUUCUCAAUGAUUUGGGUCUUAAGAACCCUUUAUACUCUUAAAAAUUUAUACUCUUAAAAAAAAAAAAAAAGCUCCAAAGAGCUUCUGUUUACAUGAGUUAUAUCCGCAAUAUUGACUCUAUUA